GACCGCGUAACUCAGUUGGCAGAGCAUUGAUUGAGCUAGUAUUCCAAAGGUCGUAGGUUUGAUUCCCACCGUGGCCG